GUUUGCUUGCAAACUGAAGAUGGCGACCGGCGCACGGGUGAGUAACACGUAUCCAACCUGCCGAUAACUCCGGAAUAGCCUUUCGAAAGAAAGAUUAAUACCGGAUAGCAUACGAAUAUCGCAUGAUAUUUUUAUUAAAGAAUUUCGGUUAUCGAUGGGGAUGCGUUCCAUUAGUUUGUUGGCGGGGUAACGGCCCACCAAGACUACGAUGGAUAGGGGUUCUGAGAGGAAGGUCCCCCACAUUGGAACUGAGACACGGUCCAAACUCCUACGGGAGGCAGCAGUGAGGAAUAUUGGUCAAUGGGCGAGAGCCUGAACCAGCCAAGUAGCGUGAAGGAUGAAGGCUCUAUGGGUCGUAAACUUCUUUUAUAUGGGAAUAAAGUUUUCCACGUGUGGAAUUUUGUAUGUACCAUAUGAAUAAGGAUCGGCUAACUCCGUGCCAGCAGCCGCGGUAAUACGGAGGAUCCGAGCGUUAUCCGGAUUUAUUGGGUUUAAAGGGAGCGUAGGUGGAUUGUUAAGUCAGUUGUGAAAGUUUGCGGCUCAACCGUAAAAUUGCAGUUGAAACUGGCAGUCUUGAGUACAGUAGAGGUGGGCGGAAUUCGUGGUGUAGCGGUGAAAUGCUUAGAUAUCACGAAGAACUCCGAUUGCGAAGGCAGCUC
rnacentral:rRNA from 1 species